CCUCGAUGCCCACAGGCGAUUGUUCAGUACUUCCCACGCCUGACACUUGUCUUUGAGUAAGUCUGGUGGCGCUCUGGCCGGCCCCGCAACAGCGGGACUGUGUCUUGUGAUAUGAAGAGGUUCUUUUCCUAACCAUAUAUGUCUCCCCAAGAGCACCAAUAAAUAAUGUGGUUGCUCUGCCUGGGUUGUCUUUCCCUAGUUGGCCCAGGAGCCCUCUGGCCCCUGCUCGCGGCUUCUCCUGUUUCAAUUUCCAUGUGCUCUCCGAUUUGUAACUCAAGGAGCUCCCAGGCUUAGGAACAGAUGACGAGCUGGCCACUCCUGGCUGUGGCACCUGGGGAAGGGGCGAUGGGCAAUGACUUGCAGGCAUGCUCCCGGCUCCCUGGCCCCGGCUGCCGUGACACACUGCAAGUUGACUUUCGCAGGGUCCCUGGACUUCGAGGUGCUACUGUCUGGCAUCUCCUUCAAGGGAAAGCCAGAUCUCCAAACAGCGGCAGAACCAGGAAUGUAGAGCCCAGUGAGUGACUAGGAGUCAGUGGGGCUCUCUACCUGCCCAUCUCAUCCAGGGCACAACAGAGCCUGGCCUGGAGGACAGUGUCCCCGCUCAGCUCUGCCAGUCAGACUGACACUAUCAUCUCAACCUUAGUGGGGAUGGAUUUAGCAAGCCAAAGCUCCCUGGAAGAGGAAAUUCCUUUCCUGCAGAGCUCUCCAGGAGAAGCAGAGAAAGAUCUCAGCGCUCAGAGAUUAGCUGAGAUUGCUCUGGAGGCAUGUGAUGAUGGUCAUAAUAGCACCAAGGAAUGACAUACUGUUGAUUUGCUCUCAGGCACAGUACCAAGCAUUUGACCUGAAUUAUUCAAUCCACACACCAGUCACAUGAGACAGGUGUUUUUAGUUGUCUCCAUUGUACAGAUGAAGAAACUGAGGUGGAGUGGGGUUAAACCACUUGUCAGGGUCAGUACCAGCAUUGGAUCCUUGCAGCCUGACCUGGGGUCCUCGGCUCUGACCAACUUGGUGAUGUUGUCUCUUCCUGGAAGUUCUUACUGAUCACUUAUUGACAGAUCAGGGGUUUCUUUAUGGCAAGGUAUAUACAAAGGAAAGUGCCGAUAGUCUUUUUAUUUUUAAAACCUUCAAAGAAAGCAGAAAAGUUAGAAGCAGAAACAGAAGAAAAAAAGAUUUAGAUCAACUAGUAAUUAUUCAAUAAUUCAAGUUUAGAAAGAUACUAGAUUUGGGGCACCUGGGUGGCUCAGUCGGUUAAGUGUCCGACUUCAGCUCAGGUCAUGAUCUCAGUUUGUGAGUUUGAGCCCCGCAAUCUGUGCUGACAGCUCAGAACCUGGAGACUGCUUUGGAUUCUGUCUCAUUCUCCUCUGCCCCUCCCCCACUUGUGCUCUGUCUCUCUCAGUCUCUCAAAAAUAAAUACAAAUGUAAAAAAAAAUU